UUGUUUUGACAUUGUCCAUUUCCAUCUAUCGUUAGCGCCAAAUUUUCAGAUGUAGAUGGCUGGAGAAAACUUGUUUUACUGCUUGGAUUUAAACUUCCAGAGGCAAUAACAAAAGAAAGCAAAAUUGAAUUUCCAACAGAAGAUCCUAAAAAGUUGGUGCAGGGUUGCUGGGCUCUGCUUGAAUCCGCCUCUGAGCUACCAGAAGAAGUAGUUGCAGCCCUUUUGCAAUGCAGAGCGAAUCACAAGGAAGCUCUUUUAUCUAUUCUCUUCAACGCAAUGGAAGGGAAGGACACAAAAUACGACGUGGCAGGAAAGAUCAUUGAUGAUAAUUGCAAAGAAAAGACAUUCUUGGAGAUUCUAGGAUUCGCCGUCAUUGAAUCAGGCGAAGGGAAAUGCUUGUCAUUGAAAUGGAAGUCUGGUCAUAUCAUCCGUGAUGCAUAUUCUGUUAUAUACGCACUUUUAUAGGGUUGUCUUAGCGUAUGACAUCACACUCCGGCCUGGUGCUGAUGAAACGUAGUUAGAAAGCUUGGCAACUGGAACUCCACUUGCUCAAAAGAACUCGACAAAAUUGCAGUAAAGACACAAUUACUUAAAUUAUAUUUGAUUACACAAUUUUUUAUUGCUGAUUUAACAAGUAAAGGAAAGUUAUUAUU